ACCGAACCGACUAAUGUUGAAAAAUUAGCGGAUGACUUGUGGCUGGGGGUGAAAGGCCAAUCAAACCGGGAGAUAGCUGGUUCUCCCCGAAAGCUAUUUAGGUAGCGCCUCGUGAAUUCAUCUCCGGGGGUAGAGCACUGUUUCGGCAAGGGGGUCAUCCCGACUUACCAACCCGAUGCAAACUGCGAAUACCGGAGAAUGUUAUCACGGGAGACACACGGCGGGUGCUAACGUCCGUCGUGAAGAGGGAAACAACCCAGACCGCCAGCUAAGGUCCCAAAGUCAUGGUUAAGUGGGAAACGAUGUGGGAAGGCCCAGACAGCCAGGAUGUUGGCUUAGAAGCAGCCAUCAUUUAAAGAAAGCGUAAUAGCUCACUGGUCGAGUCGGCCUGCGCGGAAGAUGUAACGGGGCUAAACCAUGCACCGAAGCUGCGGCAGCGACGCUUAUGCGUUGUUGGGUAGGGGAGCGUUCUGUAAGCCUGUGAAGGUGUGCUGUGAGGCAUGCUGGAGGUAUCAGAAGUGCGAAUGCUGACAUAAGUAACGAUAAAGCGGGUGAAAAGCCCGCUCGCCGGAAGACCAAGGGUUCCUGUCCAACGUUAAUCGGGGCAGGGUGAGUCGACCCCUAAGGCGAGGCCGAAAGGCGUAGUCGAUGGGAAACAGGUUAAUAUUCCUGUACUUGGUGUUACUGCGAAGGGGGGACGG
rnacentral:rRNA from 1 species